UAACGGCUGAACUGGCAACUUGGAGAAGUGGCAAGCCCUAUUUUGAUCAUAUCUUUGAAUAUGAUCUAUAGGGUUGUAUUAAAAUUGAAUAAAGCUUUGUUUAUAUAUUGAUAAUGACAGUAUAUAUAUCGUGUCUUGACUAAUUGCGUGCCAGCAGUCGCGGUAAUACGUAAGAGACUAGUGUUAUUCAUCUUAAUUAGGUUUAAAGGGUACCUAGACGGUCAAUAUAGCUUCUAAAAUGUUAGUACUUGACUAGAGUUUUAUGUAAGAGGGCAGUACUUGAGGAGGAGAGAUGAAAUUCUAUGAUACCAAAGGGACUCGGUAAAGGCGAAGGCAGCCCUCUAUGUAAAAACNGACGUUAAAGGACGAAGGCACAGAGCACAAACAGGAUUAGAUACCCAAGUAGUCUUUGCAGUAAAUGAUGAAUGCCAUAGGUUAGAUUAAGAUUUAAUAUUAUAAUUUAAAAUUAAAUAUUAAACAUUAUUUGGUCUAUAAAUGAAAGUGUAAGCAUUUCACCUCAAGAGUAAUGUGGCA
rnacentral:rRNA from 1 species